AUUGAACGCUGGCGGCAUGCUUUACACAUGCAAGUCGAACGGUAACAGGCCGCAAGGUGCUGACGAGUGGCGAACGGGUGCGUAAUGCAUCGGAACGUGCCCAGUCGUGGGGGAUAACUACUCGAAAGAGUAGCUAAUACCGCAUACGAUCUAUGGAUGAAAGCGGGGGACCGUAAGGCCUCGCGCGAUUGGAGCGGCCGAUGUCAGAUUAGGUAGUUGGUGGGGUAAAGGCUCACCAAGCCAACGAUCUGUAGCUGGUCUGAGAGGACGACCAGCCACACUGGGACUGAGACACGGCCCAGACUCCUACGGGAGGCAGCAGUGGGGAAUUUUGGACAAUGGGCGCAGGCCUGAUCCAGCAAUGCCGCGUGCAGGAAGAAGGCCUUCGGGUUGUAAACUGCUUUUGUACGGAACGAAACGGCUCUGGUUAAUACCCGGGGCUAAUGACGGUACCGUAAGAAUAAGCACCGGCUAACUACGUG
rnacentral:rRNA from 1 species